CAGUCGCCACGGUAAUACGAAGGGUGCAAGCGUUACUCGGAAUUACUGGGCGUAAAGCGUGCGUAGGUGGUGGUUUAAGUCCGUUGUGAAAGCCCUGGGCUCAACCUGGGAAUUGCAGUGGAUACUGGGUCACUAGAGUGUGGUAGAGGAUAGUGGAAUUUCCGGUGUAGCAGUGAAAUGCGUAGAGAUCGGAAGGAACAUCUGUGGCGAAGGCGACUAUCUGGGCCAACACUGACACUGAGGCACGAAAGCGUGGGGAGCAAACAGGAUUAGAUACCCCUGUAGUCCCUGUCUCUUAUAC
rnacentral:rRNA from 1 species